rnacentral:rRNA from 1 species
GAUGAACGCUGACAGAAUGCUUAACACAUGCAAGUCAACUUGAACUUCGGUUUGGGUGGCGGACGGGUGAGUAACGCGUAAAGAACUUGCCUCACAGCUAGGGACAACAUUUGGAAACGAAUGCUAAUACCUGAUAUUAUGAUUUUAGGGCAUCCUAGAAUUAUGAAAGCUAUAUGCGCUGUGAGAGAGCUUUGCGUCCCAUUAGCUAGUUGGAGAGGUAACGGCUCACCAAGGCGAUGAUGGGUAGCCGGCCUGAGAGGGUGAACGGCCACAAGGGGACUGAGACACGGCCCUUACUCCUACGGGAGGCAGCAGUGGGGAAUAUUGGACAAUGGACCAAGAGUCUGAUCCAGCAAUUCAGUGUGCACGAUGAAGUUUUUCGGAAUGUAAAGUGCUUUCAGUUGGGAAGAAAAAAAUGACGGUACCAACAGAAGAAGUGACGGCUAAAUACGUG